UACGGAGGGGGCUAGCGUUGUUCGGAAUUACUGGGCGUAAAGCGCGCGUAGGCGGACCUGCAAGUCGGGGGUGAAAGCCCGAGGCUCAACCUCGGAACUGCCUUCGAUACUGCGGGUCUCGAGUCCGGGAGAGGUGAGUGGAAUUCCUAGUGUAGAGGUGAAAUGCGCAGAUAUCAGGAAGAACACCCGUGGCUAAGGCGGCUCUCUAGUACGGUACUGACGCUGAGACGCGAAGGCGUGGGGAGCGAACAGG
rnacentral:rRNA from 1 species